rnacentral:other from 1 species
GCUUCCCUGCGCUGUUGGUGAUUGCCGAAGUAUUGAGCCAAACACUCUUUAAAAGGGUAUUCAUAACUAUACUCGGAUGGAAAUCCUCACGGAUUACCAGAUGAUUAUGGAUGGAUUGCCCACCUAAUUUCUAUUAGGUUUAAUCAUUUCGGCAACACGGCAGUCGUGGGGAACUU